rnacentral:rRNA from 1 species
AGUGGGGAAUCUUGCGCAAUGGGCGAAAGCCUGACGCAGCCAUGCCGCGUGUAUGAUGAAGGUCUUAGGAUUGUAAAAUACUUUCACCGGUGAAGAUAAUGACUGUAGCCGGAGAAGAAGCCCCGGCUAACUUCGUGCCAGCAGCCGCGGUAAUACGAAGGGGGCUAGCGUUGCUCGGAAUUACUGGGCGUAAAGGGAGCGUAGGCGGACAUUUAAGUCAGAGGUGAAAUCCCGGAGCUUAACUUCGGAACUGCCUUUGAUACUGGAUGUCUUGAGUGUGAGAGAGGUAUGUGGAACUCCGAGUGUAGAGGUGAAAUUCGUAGAUAUUCGGAAGAACACCAGUGGCGAAGGCGACAUACUGGCUCAUUACUGACGCUGAGGCUCGAAAGCGUGGGGAGCAAA